CCUACGGGAGGCAGCAGUGAGGAAUAUUGGUCAAUGGGCGGGAGCCUGAACCAGCCAAGCCGCGUGAGGGAAGAAGGUACAGCGUAUCGUAAACCUCUUUUGUCAGGGAACAAAGGCGGGGACUAGUCCCCGGCUGAGGGUACCUGAAGAAAAAGCAUCGGCUAACUCCGUGCCAGCAGCCGCGGUAAUACGGAGGAUGCGAGCGUUAUCCGGAUUUAUUGGGUUUAAAGGGUGCGCAGGCGGCCUGUUAAGUCAGCGGUAAAAGCCCGGGGCUCAACCCCGGCGAGCCGUUGAAACUGGCGGGCUGGAGUGGGAGAGAAGUACGCGGAAUGCGCGGUGUAGCGGUGAAAUGCAUAGAUAUCACGCAGAACCCCGAUUGCGAAGGCAGCAUGCCGGCUUCCGACUGACGCUGAAGCACGAAAGCGUGGGGAUCGAACAGGAUUAGAUACCCCUGUAGUC
rnacentral:rRNA from 1 species